rnacentral:rRNA from 1 species
AGAGUUUGAUCCUGGCUCAGGAUGAACGCUAGCGGCAGGCCUAAUACAUGCAAGUCGAACGGUAAGUUGAAUAGCAAUAUUUGACCUAGAGUGACGUACGGGUGCGUAACACGUAUGCAACCUACCCUUUACAGGAGGAUAGCUCGGGGAAACUCGAAUUAACCCUCCAUGAGAUCAUAGAGUAGCAUUACUUAGUGAUUAAAACUCCGGUGGUAAAGGAUGGGCAUGCGUCUGAUUAGUUAGUUGGCGGGGUAACGGCCCACCAAGACGAUGAUCAGUAGGGGAACUGAGAGGUUGAUCCCCCACACUGGCACUGAGAUACGGGCCAGACUCCUACGGGAGGCAGCAGUAGGGAAUAUUGGUCAAUGGAUGCAAGUCUGAACCAGCCAUGCCGCGUGCAGGAAGAAGGCCUUCUGGGUUGUAAACUGCUUUUGCCAGGGGAUAAAAUAUCCUUGCGAGGGUAAUUGAAGGUACCUGGUGAAUAAGCCACGGCUAACUACGUGCCAGCAGCCGCGGUAAUACGUAGGUGGCAAGCGUUGUCCGGAUUUAUUGGGUUUAAAGGGUGCGUAGGCGGUUUUGUAAGUCAGUGGUGAAAUAUGUCAGCUUAACUGAGAGGGUGCCAUUGAUACUGCAGAACUUGAGUACAGAUGAGGUAGGCGGAAUUGACGGUGUAGCGGUGAAAUGCUUAGAUAUCGUCAAGAACACCUAUAGCGAAGGCAGCUUACUAGGCUGUAACUGACGCUGAGGCACGAAAGUGUGGGGAUCAAACAGGAUUAGAUACCCUGGUAGUCC